GCAGAAGGUGGGAAGCUAUGCAGGGAAUGUAGCUCUAGUGUGUUGUCAUGGUGAUGCAGCUGCCUGGAAGUCACCCCUCACUCAAGCUGUGAUAGCAGUGUUCUUACUUGAAUCUCAUCUCAGACUGAGUUAACCCCAUCAUAUGGAUUAGGAAAAGUCUCAUCUUAAACUCUAGACUCUACUUCAUUCAGCUGAAGGCAUUGGGUGCUUGCCAAAUUCACAUAACCCUCAAGGGUUGGAAGCGGUAAAAAGUUUGAAGACAAACCUAUUUUGAAGAGAAGAGGAAGAAAGCAUCACUCCUUCCCUUAAACGACAUACAUUACAUGUAUGCAGCCCCUCAGAAGGAAGGUCUUCAAAAGAGCCGAGGUGCCACGUGGGUGAAGUGGUCCACACAUUUGACCCGGGAGAACAUUUGAGUGCUUGUGACAGCCCCAGAUUGGUGGAUGAGAACCCGAUUGCUGACGAUGGGGGCAUCAGCAAGACUAGGGAUGACAACCAGAUAACUGUUGGAUGCUCGGUGUUCAGUUGCCUGUGGCCGAAAUGUCUCACAAUCAACUUAAACGAGGGUGCAAAAUCAAACUCAGGGUUUUAUUCUUCAAACUAUUUCCACUGAUGGCUUCUUCCUGCAGAACAGCACCAUGCAAUUGGCUCUAGAUGCUCAGACUUUCAGUUGUGACCACAAGUACUUCUCUUAGACAUUAAGCUGUGAACCAUUCAGCAGGCUUGUAGUUAAUCCUACACAACCCUGAGCCAGUGGCACCAGAGUUAUCAUUAUCACAUCAGGGGAAGCUGCUCCUCUGUAAAACCAGUAAUGUAGUUAAGGUGCCAGGACCGUGGGGGGUCACAUUCACCCAGGACUUGAAAUGUCAACAGCUCUGUGUAUUAAUUGAUUUAGCCUCCUUUUGCCUAAUCAUGCAGACCUUUUCCCUGCAUACCCCAUUUGACAUGCCUUCUUAGAGUCACUUAGUGCUAUUCACUUAGAGAAAUGCUGCUACUGGCUCACUAUGGUCUGAGUGGACUUCCUUUAGGAGACAGCACCCUUCCAUCUUUGUGGGCCCUCUUAGCCCUUGUAAAUUUCUUCCUCUAUUCUCCCAUCUUUUGAAAUUCUCUAUGCCUCCAUCACAGUCAAGAAGUAGUCAUUACUUCCUUUCACACAGCCUCCCAGACGCUCCUUCACUGGAUAACGACAUUCUGGAUCUCUCUUGGGAUAACAUGUUCUAAUCUGUGCUGUCGCCACAUGGGAAUCUUCCUGUCUCCACAGCUGGAGUUCUGGGGUACAGAUGUGCCCUGCUGUCAUUCCCCUAAGACUCUAGUAUUCAAGGGUUCAGAUCUGCAUUGCUAUUUUCUGGACAGUUGGAAGUUGGGUAGCACAGUGCUCACGAGUCUUGCUUGUAAGUAAAGAAUUAGAUUUCAUUGAUAGGGAAGAAUAAAACUUAAGAGCUGGAGAACAACCGAGAGAUGAACUAAGAGUGGUCAGAGGAGGAGAGUGGGAGGGAGGAGAUGGAUGGAGAUGGAUGGAGACGGAUCCGAGUAGGUGAGACCUGAGUUUGCAGGUAAAGAACACAGGAUGUUCUACAGUGGGAGAGUGGGAAGGCCGCCACUCAUGGAGGGGAGCUGUUUCUUUGUCUCCAGGCUUUGAGUGGUGAAUAACACUCUCCUGAAAAUGAGCUGUGUGUGUGAGUUCCUACUCUCUACUCCUAUGCUGCUGCCACUGCUGGGGUGCAUCUCUGAACUAAUCUCGGUUACAGCACAUGCUAACAUUAGGCCUGCAAACUCCCUUUUCCAUUUCGAACGGCCUCUGUAUUUUAAGGUUCUACUUAGCAAAACAACCAAGGAGGAACAGUGAGAAAUUAUUCUACUGACUAGAAGUUAGAACACUGAGAGGAAGUCGUCUCGACAGCAGACUUUCUGUAGGUAAAAACUGUUUCUUCAAUUGACUCAUUCCUCCCAUGCUGCUGUGCGAUUUCACAGCCAUUGUCUGAGAAAGAAACCGUUGACAAAAGUGCGGACCUCUCAUUCCUUCCUCCUCUGAUAAUCAAAUCCAGAUGCAAAACUGGGGUUUGGAGACAGGCGAGUCCUGGAUGUGGUCAUUAUUCUACGUAGACCCCCUAAAGCACUCUCAGAAAAAGCCCAGGAAUGCAUUUAAAAACUACAUUUGGUUUUAGUGAAAAGUAAGACAUCAAAACAUUUUGAAAUUAUGAAGCAUUGACUGGGAUUUUCAUUUGUUAUAAUCUUUCUGAUACGAAUUACAUGCAAUUUCCCCCUUAAGAUUAUAACGUUGCUAAUUCUCUCCAUAUGUGAACAAUUUGUGUUUGACCUUUAACAAAUGUCCUCUAGGCAGAUGACUUGCCAUCCUAGAGCAACGGCACAGCGUCAUUUCACAUGCACACAAAGACUUGAAAGCCCCAUAAAGAUAAACGAUCCAUGCUACAAGAGGCAUCCGCCAACAGAAGAGCUAUUUCAGCCCUGUAAACGUCAAUGUCCAUACAUUCAGAAACCUCACUGGGUCGUUUUUAGUGCUAAACUCAGAGGAACAAAAUGGCAAACACACAUGUUUUAUUUGUUAAGCUGCCAGCUUUGUAUUCUGGGUAAAAGGUAGGUCAGGAAAAACUAGUCAAAAGCACAUGGGCUAUGUGUAUUUAAAGGCAGUGUCUCUUUCCAAUGCAUGGUAUUAGGUGCUACAGGCACAUUUACUAUUAAGCAUCAUGUAUAUUUAAUAGCACAAUGUCUACUUUAGUGUCCUUAAAAGCCUGUAUCCACUUUAUAGUUUCCAUUAUUGAAGAGCCAAUGUUCAGUUCUCUUGUAAUUUUGUAAAGUGCUGGCAACCCACAAGAGCGUCUAGAUUUAGCCAGUGGCCCCACGGGACCAUGGUAAUUAUUACGAAAUCAUUAAUUCUAUGUCAGUACUUUCAACUGUCAGGUACAUGUAACAGUAAUUGCAGCUAAUGAGUGCUGCUCAAUUUAUUAAAUGUAAAAUGAAAACUGGUAUUAUUUUAUAUGCAGUACUAAGGCCUAUUCAUAUUCACCAUUUUUGUGUGUCAUGUUGAAUUAUCCUAUGUGGAUAUAUCCUGUGUGGGAUAUAUCCAGAGUAUGUUGCCAUUUAUUUCUAGAAGUUUACCAGAAAGUGGUCCAGGAAAUUCUAGCUCUCCAACUAAAAGAGAAAUCAAAAUAAUUAGCACUCAGAGUGAUAUUUUGUCAGCAUCUACAUUUAUGUGAAUGGCACUGACUUCUGCUUUGAACAAACAGGACCUGUUUCUUAGGCUCCCGUCCCCCUCCACCAGUCCUCAUGAGAGCGACCAAAGCUUCCAGUUGUUUGAAAUCUUCAUCUUGUCUCUUUCCCACAGGUUUUGCCAGUAGAACUUUUGUGAAUAGAGACACACAGCCUGGUUCAUGAUUUUAACACACAAGGACCACUUUCAAUCACUCGAAGUAAACUGCAUAGACAUUUGCAAGUGCAAAGAGUGUAGAAUUUUUGAAAGUAUAGGACGAGACAGUAUCACUUUUAGGAUUCCAGAGGCAUCUGCUGCCAAUAACUAUGCUCUGGUCAUCCCGCUGUCCGAUGUAAACGAUGACAAUUAGUUUAUAUCUCGGAAUCACUAAUUCCUUGACCUGGGUCUUAAUAACCUAGAAAAUGAUAAAAAAAAAUAAAGGGUAAAUCGC
ensembl:antisense BB031773 expressed sequence BB031773